rnacentral:rRNA from 1 species
GACUGAGUGGCGGACGGGUGAGUAACGCGUGGGUAACCUGCCUGUACAGGGGGACGAACAGUUGGAAACGACUGCUAAUACCGCAUAAGCGCACAGUGUCGCAUGACACAGUGUGAAAAGUUUUUCGGUACAAGAUGGACCCGCGUCUGAUUAGCUAGUUGGUGAGGUAACGGCUCACCAAGGCGACGAUCAGUAGCCGACCUGAGAGGGUGACCGGCCACAUUGGGACUGAGACACGGCCCAAACUCCUACGGGAGGCAGCAGUGGGGAAUAUUGCACAAUGGGCGCAAGCCUGAUGCAGCCGACGCCGCGUGAGCGAAGAAGUAUUUCGGUAUGUAAAGCUCUAUCAGCAGGGAAGAUAAUGACGGUACCUGACUAAGAAGCACCGGCUAAAUACGUGCCAGCCGCCGC